CUUGAGACGGGCUCAAAAUGAGCUCGGCUUAAGGAUCAAGAAAAUAAGAAGCGACAACGGGACGGAGUUCAAGAACUCUCAAAUUGAAGGCUUUCUUGAGGAGGAGGGCAUCAAGCAUGAGUUCUCUUCUCCCUACACGCCUCAACAAAAUGGUGUAGUGGAGAGGAAGAAUAGAACUCUUUUGGACAUGGCAAGAACCAUGCUUGAUGAAUACAAGACUUCGGAUCGGUUUUGGGCGGAGGCGGUCAACACCGCUUGCUACGCCAUCAACCGGUUAUAUCUUCACCGAAUCCUCAAGAAGACAUCAUAUGAACUCCUAACUGGUAAAAAGCCCAAUAUUUCAUACUUUAGAGUUUUUGGUAGCAAAUGCUUUAUUCUUGUUAAAAGAGGUAGAAAAUCUAAAUUUGCUCCUAAAACUGUAGAAGGCUUUUUACUUGGUUAUGACUCAAACACAAGGGCAUAUAGGGUCUUUAACAAGUCCACUGGACUAGUUGAAGUCUCAUGUGACGUUGUGUUUGACGAAACUAACGGCUCUCAAGUAGAGCAUGUUGAUCUUGAUGAGAUAGGUGAAGAACAGGCUCCAUGCACAGCGCUAAGGAACAUGUCCGUUGGGGACGUGUGUCCUAAGGAAUCCGAAGAGCCUUCAAGAGCACAAGAUCAACCGUCCUCCUCCACACAAGCAUCUCCACCAACUCAAAAUGAGGAUGAAGCUCAAGUUGAUGAAGUGGAAGAUCAGGCAAAUGAGCCACCUCAAGAUGACGGCAUAGAUCAAGGGGGAGAUGCAAAUGAUCAAGACAAGGAGGAUGAAGAACAAAGGCCGCCACACCCAAGAGUCCACCAAGCAAUCCAACGAGAUCACCCCGUCGACACCAUUCUCGGCGACAUUCAUAAGGGGGUAACUACUCGAUCUCGUGUUGCACAUUUUUGUGAACAUUACUCGUUUGUUUCCUCUAUUGAGCCACACAGGGUAGAGGAAGCACUUCAAGAUUCGGAUUGGGUGGUGGCGAUGCAAGAGGAGCUCAACAACUUCACGAGGAAUGAGGUAUGGCAUUUAGUUCCACGUCCUAAUCAAAAUGUUGUAGGAACCAAAUGGGUCUUCCGCAACAAGCAAGACGAGCAUGGUGUGGUGACAAGGAACAAAGCUCGACUUGUGGCCAAGGGAUACUCCCAAGUCGAAGGUUUGGAUUUCGGUGAAACCUAUGCACCCGUAGCUAGGCUUGAGUCAAUUCGCAUAUUAUUGGCCUAUGCUACUUACCAUGGCUUUAAGCUUUAUCAAAUGGACGUGAAAAGUGCCUUCCUCAAUGGACCAAUCAAGGAAGAGGUCUAUGUUGAGCAACCUCCCGGCUUUGAAGACAGUGAGUACCCUAACCAUGUCUAUAGGCUCUCUAAGGCGCUUUAUGGGCUCAAGCAAGCUCCAAGAGCAUGGUAUGAAUGCCUAAGAGAUUUCCUUAUUUCAAAUGGCUUCAAAGUCGGAAAGGCCGAUCCUACACUCUUUACUAAAACUCUCAAAAAUGAUUUGUUUGUAUGCCAAAUCUAUGUUGAUGAUAUUAUAUUUGGGUCUACUAACGAAUCUACAUGUGAAGAGUUUAGUAGGAUUAUGACACAGAAAUUCGAGAUGUCUAUGAUUGGGGAGUUGAAGUAUUUCUUAGGAUUCCAAGUAAAGCAACUCCAAGAGGGCACCUUCAUCAGCCAAACAAAGUACACUCAAGAUAUUCUAACCAAGUUUGGGAUGAAGGAUGCCAAACCCAUCAAGACACCCAUGGGAACCAAUGGGCAUCUCGACCUCGACACGGGAGGUAAGUCCGUGGAUCAAAAGGUAUACCGGUCGAUGAUAGGUUCUUUACUCUAUUUAUGUGCAUCUCGACCGGAUAUUAUGCUUUCCGUAUGCAUGUGUGCAAGAUUCCAAGCCGACCCUAAGGGAGCUCACCUUACGGCCGUGAAACGAAUCUUGAGAUAUUUGGCUUAUACUCCUAAGUUUGGGCUUUGGUAUCCUAGGGGAUCCACAUUUGAUUUGAUUGGAUAUUCGGAUGCCGAUUGGGCGGGGUGCAAAAUCAAUAGGAAGAGCACAUCGGGGACUUGCCAGUUCUUGGGAAGAUCCUUGGUGUCUUGGGCUUCAAAGAAGCAAAAUUCGGUCGCUCUUUCCACAGCCGAAGCCGAGUACAUUGCCGCAGGCCAUUGUUGCGCGCAACUGCUUUGGAUGAGGCAAACCCUGCGGGACUACGGUUACAAAUUAACCAAAGUCCCUUUGCUAUGUGACAAUGAGAGUGCAAUCAAAAUGGCCGACAAUCCUGUCGAGCAUAGCCGCACUAAGCACAUAGCCAUUCGGUAUCACUUUUUGAGGGAUCACCAACAAAAGGGAGAUAUCGAGAUUUCAUACAUUAAUACUAAAGAUCAAUUAGCCGAUAUCUUUACCAAGCCUCUUGAUGAACAAUCUUUUAACAAACUUAGGCAUGAGCUCAAUAUUCUUGAUUCGCGCAAUUUCUUUUGCUAGAUUGCACACAUUGCUCUUUUAUAUACCUUUAAUCAUGUCUCUUUUGUAUGCUAUGACUAAUGUGUUUUCAAGAAUAUUUCAAACCAAGUCAUAGGUAUAUUGAAAGGAAAUUGGAGUCUUCGGCGAAGACAAAGGCUUCCACUCCGUAACUCAUACUUCGCCAUCACUCCAAGCAACUCUCUAUUCCUUGGGGAGAAAUGAGCAUCAAGGAAAAGGACUUCGUCUUUGGUAUAUUCUUAACUCAUUCAUUUAUGACCAAAGGUGAAGAAAGCACUUCGAGGGCUCUAAUGAUUCCGUUUUUGGCGAUUCAUGCCAAAAAGGGGGAGAAAGGAGCCCCAAAGCAAAAGGACCGCACCACCAUCGAUUUCAAAAUCUUAGUGUUGAAUAUUUAUCAAUUGGUUUUCCUAUUGUGUUCAAAAAGGGGAGAAAGUAGUACUUCAAAAUAAUAUCAAAACCCUCUUGAACACUAAGAGGAGAAUCUCAUUUAGGGGGAGUUUUGUUUAGUCAAAGGAAAAGCAUUUGAAACAGGGGGAGAAAAUUUCAAAUCUUGAAAAUGCUUUGCAAACUCUUAUUCAUUUGUCUUUGACUAUUUGCAAAAGAACUUUAAAAUGGAUUUACAAAAGAAUUUGCAAAAACAAAACAUGUGGUGCAAGCGUGGUCCAAAAUGUUAAAUAAGAAAGAAACAUUCCAUGCAUAUCUUGUAAGUAGUUUUAUUGGCUCAAUUCCAAGCAACCUUUACACUUACAUUAUGCAAACUAGUUCAAUUGUACUCUUCUAUAUUUGCUUUGGUUUGUGUUGGCAUCAAUCACCAAAAAGGGGGAGAUUGAAAGGGAAUUAGGCUUACACCUAGUUCCCAAAUAAUUUUGGUGGUUGAAUUGCCCAACACAAAUAAUUGGACUAACUAGUUUGCCCAAGUGUAUAGAUUAUACAGGUGUAAAAGGUUCACACUCAGCCAAUUAAAAAGACCAAGUUUUGGAUUCAACAAAGGAGCCAAGGGGCAACCGAAGGCACCCCUGGUCUGGCGCACCGGACUGUCCGGUGUGCCACCGGACAGUGAACAGUACCUGUCCGGUGCACCAGGGGACUCAGACUCAAACUCGCCACCUUCGGGAAUUUCCAGGGCGACUCGGCUAUAAUUCACCGGACUGUCCGGUGUACACCGGACAGUGUCCGGUGCGCCAAGGGAGGUCGGCCUCAGGAACUCGCCAGCUUCGGGAAACGCCAACGGCUAGUCCGCUAUAAUUCACCGGACUGUCCGGUGUGCACCGGACUGUCCGGUGCGCCUCCGAAGCAAUGGUCGUCUCCGCGCCAACGGCUCUCUGCCGCGCAUUUAAUGCGCGCUCUGCGCGCGCAGAAGUCAGAAUCGCCCAUGCUGGCACACCGGACAUCAAACAGUACCUGUCCGGUGUGCACCGGACACCCUGGCGGGCCCACAAGUCAGAAGCUCCAACGGCUAGAAUCCAACGGCAGUGAUGACGUGGCAGGGGCACCGGACUGUCCGGUGUGCACCGGACUGUCCGGUGCGCCAUCGAGCAGACGCCUCCAGCCAACGGUCAAGUUUGGUGGUUGGGGCUAUAAAUACCCCAACCACCCCACCAUUCAUUGCAUCCAAGUUUUCCACUUCCCAACUACUACAAGAGCUCUAGCAUUCAAUUCUAGACACACCAAAAGAGAUCAAAUCCUCUCCAAUUCCACGAAAGGCUUUAGUGAUUAGAGAGAGUGAUUUGCCGUGUUCAUUUGAGCUCUUGCGCUUGGAUUGCUUCUUUUCUUUCUCACUUGUUCUUGAGAUCACAACUCCAUUGUAAUCAAGGCAAGAGGCACCAAUUGUGUGGUGGCCCUUGCGGGGAAGUUUUGUUCCCGGCUUUGAUUUGAGAAGAGAAGCUCACUCGGUCCGUGGGACCGUUUGAGAGAGGGAAGGGUUGAAAGAGACCCGGCCUUUGUGGCCUCCUCAACGGGGAGUAGGUUUGCAAGAACCGAACCUCGGUAAAACAAAUCUCCGUGUCUCACUUGCUUAUUCGUUUGGGAUUUGUUUUGCGCCCUCUCUCGCGGACUCGUUUAUAUUUCUAACGCUAACCCGGCUUGUAGUUGUGUUUAUAUUUGUAAAUUUCAGUUUCGCCCUAUUCACCCCCCCUCUAGGCGACUAUCAACUCUCCUUCCAUUCUAUUGCUUCACUUGAUAGAUCAGGUGCUAUGAAAAUUCAGUAGCAAAGAUGUAUCCUGACGGUAAAUGAGUUUAUGAAAGUAUUUCCAUUUCCUAUUGUUGUGCAGAUGCUGGCGCCGAGGUAAAUGGGUUUAUGAAAUUAUUUCUAGGUACGAAAUUGCUUUCAGCUUUCCUCUACAAAUUGCAAUCAAUUUUUGAGAUAUUGAGUUUGAUAAUAUAUGUGUUCUUCAUUUUCUUGUAACCGUUGCACACUAACAUUUUAUCGAAUUAUUUGUGUGCCGUCACAAUGUACGAGCGCUCUACUAAGCAAAUAUGUCAAACAAGCAAAAAGAUGUCUGAUCUUCCUUCCAGAUGAUUAAUAUGGUAAGAUGGACUGAAUUCAGGCUUGAUUCUUUUAUACUACAUUAUUCAAACAUACAAUCAACACAGAUUACGAUCCAUAUAUGCUACAUCAGCAAAUAAGUAACAUUAGCGAAUAAGUAACAUUUCCUUACAACAGAAAUGGAUAUUUAUAUUCUUUCUACACAAGUGGAACAUGACAGACUUGGGUCGAUUUGUAAUCUUUUGAAAUAUUUCUUUUACUUCUGCAUAUUCUUGCACACAGUCUUCUCUUUUUAGAAGGUGUACACUUGUUCAUGUUGAUAUCCAUAUAUGCUACCUUAGUGGGUAAACAUUUACUUAAAGGAGACAUUGGUUAUUACUGCAAAAAUGCAACUAUAUCAUUUCUACAUGACUACACCAGUGCACCAUGUUAAUUCUUUCAGAUGAUUUCUGCCUGUUUUGCAUAGCCUUGUAUGUUGUCUUCUUUUAUACUGAGGGAGCUCAGUGGGGAAGACCUAAAGGUGAAGACUGUAAGUUUGUCAUUGAGUCAUUUUGACUUUUUAUUGAAUGAUAACAUGGAUCUGAUUGUCCUUUUCUGAGUUUUUAAUUCCUUCCUAUUUAGUGCCAUUUGGACAUGUGGUAGCUGGCUGUCACAUUGAUCUGAAUUCCUAUAUAUAUUCUUUAGAUGGCAUAAUCAUUUUAUCGUUGCAAAAGUUGUUUCAGAUAAAAUUAUGUCUGCAUAGGUUCCCUUGCCCCAAAGAAACUCCAUGUUCAGUUCAAGACCAAAGUACAAAAAGAAAUCUUCAACCUACAAUACUACUACUCCAUUUCAUUCCUUACAAGGUUUGUCUUUCUUUGAUACAAAUUGCAGAAUGCACUGAAUAGCCUUGAAAUCUUUAAAAAAGUUGUACUCACACCAGCGCACUAAUGUCAGUUAGGCCAUCAAUGAAGUUAUAGAAGUCACUGAUGUCAUAAGUUAGGCCAUUGGGUUGAUAUCCCUAAUUUUUCUUUCAUAAAGCCCACAAAUCCCUACCAUUUCUGUUUACUGUAAAAAGUAACUUGUGUACUUUAGAAGGGAAAUAAAUCAAGAAGCAUUUCUAACUAGAAGUUCUAUUUAAAUUUUUCUGAAGCGGAAAAACUCAGGGAGAAGCUGAGGCAGGAGUGCCUGCGGAAGGGGACGGAACUGGCGCAUGGGGUGGCUGACGCCCUCUUCGCUGUACCACCCACCGAGGACCUCGACGGCCCUAUCGUACACCUCCCAUUGCCCGUUGUCCGACUCCCGCGCGAGAAGCAUCUUGGUGCUGGGACCUCACUGCCACGAUUAGUAGCUGCAAAGGUUGGGGCAGAUGUAACACUAACAGACAUUGCGCAGAAUGCAGAAGUGAGUUCCAAUUCGUCUUUGGAAUCCUUAUUGUUUGAUCCUUGUCAGAGCUUUUCCAGUAUGGUUUGGACCUCACUGCCAGGAUUAGUAGCUUUUACCAAGUCUUUUGGAUCAUGUGGUGGAUAUAUUGUCGCAUCAAAGGAGAUAAUUCAACACCUUAAGCAUAGUUGUCCGGCCCAUCUAUAUGCUACUUCCAUGUCGCCACCAGCAGUCCAACAAGAAAAUAUCAAAAUUGCUCCAAAAUGAUCUAAAUCGCCACGAUGUGAUCUGACUACUCUGAUUGCGUACACAAGUCUCUGCUAUGAAGACUUCAGGCUUUUAAGGAAUUCAUGCACCACCUGACCGCAGUCUGCAAGAAGCUGAGCCAGAGGUUUUGCAAUAGAAGCAUCAGUGUUACAGAAUAUGCUAUGCACUUCGCCUCCAAUCACAUGACGAGCAGCCCCAGUGAGGAUCUCAAUGUAUUCGUCGACUGAAGGAGGCAGAUCCACCACCAGCACGGUUUCAAAUUCCUCUACAUCUGUCACUGACAUGUUCUCCCGGUCUUUCACAAUGACAUUCAUCAGCCCCACACUGCAAAAUGCAUGUACAAUGUCAACGAUAGAGGAUAUGAGUUAUAUGCUACUCAGUCAAAAGAUAAUAUGGCGAUUAAAACUUUUCGAGGACCUCGAACCCAAAAGAUAAAAUGUUUUAUUUGUGAUAUGCAUUGUCAGAAGAUUUAUAUUCCUAUGAUGGCUUUGCUACAAUAUAUUUUGGCUCAAUAAUUUCAUUGACCUUUUAUUUAUUCGUAUUGUUAGCAGAUUAUAUACACAUGGCUGCCGAAAUAAAAAAACAAGCUGGCAUUUGAUC